CUCAAAUGAAUUGACGGGGGCCCGCACAAGCGGUGGAGCAUGUGGUUUAAUUCGAUGCAACGCGAAGAACCUUACCUGGUCUUGACAUCCACAGAACUUAGCAGAGAUGCUUUGGUGCCUUCGGGAACUGUGAGACAGGUGCUGCAUGGCUGUCGUCAGCUCGUGUUGUGAAAUGUUGGGUUAGUCCCGCAACGAGCGCAACCCUUAUCCUUUGUUGCCAGCGGUCCGGCCGGGAACUCAAAGGAGACUGCCAGUGAUAAACUGGAGGAAGGUGGGGAUGACGUCAAGUCAUCAUGGCCCUUACGACCAGGGCUACACACGUGCU
rnacentral:rRNA from 1 species